rnacentral:rRNA from 1 species
GUCUUCUUGUUAAUUUAGGAAGUCUGACCUGCCCAGUGAAUAAUUUUUAACGGCCGCGGUAUCUUGACCGUGCAAAGGUAGCAUAAUCAUUAGUCUUUUAAUAGAAGGCUGGUAUGAAGGGUUUGACGAGGUGUUGACUGUCUCAUAAUUGAUUUUUUGAAUUUGACUUUUUAGUUAAAAGGCUUAAAAAUUUUGUUGGUAGACGAGAAGACCCUAUAGAGCUUUACAUUUGUUUUUUAAAAUUGUUUUUGUUUAUCUAUAUUAUUUUAUUUAAUAAUUGUUUUGUUGGGGUGACAUUUGAAUAUAUUUAACUUUUAUUUAUUUCGUGCAUUGAUUUAUGUUUUAUUGAUCCAUUAUUAAUGAUUAUUAGACUAAGUUACCUUAGGGAUAACAGCGUAAUCCUUUCUUGGAGUUCUAAUUUGCGAAAGGGCUUGCGACCUCGAUGUUGGAUUAAGAUUAUGAUUAGGUGUAGCCGCUUAAUACAUAGGUCUGUUCGACCUUUAAAUUCUUACAUGAUCUGAGUUCAGACCGG